rnacentral:rRNA from 1 species
UACGUAGGGGGCAAGCGUUGUCCGGAAUCAUUGGGCGUAGAGAGCGUGUAGGCGGCCCGGUAAGUCCGCUGUGAAAGUCCAGGGCUCAACCCUGGGAUGCCGGUGGAUACUGUCGGGCUCGAGUCCGGAAGAGGCGAGUGGAAUUCCUGGUGUAGCGGUGAAAUGCGCAGAUAUCAGGAGGAACACCAAUGGCGAAGGCAGCUCGCUGGGACGUGACUGACGCUGAGACGCGAAAGCGUGGGGAGCAAACAGG